rnacentral:lncRNA from 1 species
GAGAGAGCUGCUGGAGUUGCUUGCUGCUAGUUGCUUGGUUCUUUGCUACUUCACUGCUUUUGCUGCCUGCUUGCUGCCUUCUGCCUGUUCCUCCUGUGACGCCCUCUGCCAUGCCACCCUACCUUGGAGCCAGCCGACUAUGAAAUCUCUACAAACUGUGAGCUGAAAUAAACCUUUCUUCCUUUAACUUUGGGCGUUGGAUAUUUUGUCUCAGCAAUGGGAAAAGUAACAAAGACAAUAUUAUUUAUCCCCAUUUUAGGGACUUCUUUAUGAGGCUUCCCUCCCACAGCUUUAAAGGGUGAAACCCAAGAAGCACCUUCUAUCGAUACAAGCAGAGGGUAUGGAGUAAACUCACAAGCCCAGGAUCAAGCAUGAUUGAAAUGAAUUCUCUGGGAAGUCAAAACAGGAUGAAAUGACAAAGGCCACACAAUAUUCUAGACUUCUGCGCCUACAGAAAUUGCUUUAAGGAGUGGCCUGCUGUCAUUUUUUACUGAGGAAGACAUAAAAACACUUUCUGGUGCUGGAGGCGGGAAAUCUGGUCUACAAGUAACUAGUUGUAUGAUCUAUUCUACAGUAAGUAACCUAGCUUCCUCGACCCUCACUAUCCCCCUCUUUGGAAUGAAGUUUGUGUGAAGAAGAUAAGGGUUAGUACUCUGCCUGGC